rnacentral:lncRNA from 1 species
AAGUUGAGCUUAAUUUAUUCAACAAAAUGUACCCAGCAUAUCAGUGUACAAAGCAUCCUGCUGGGCUGGGCAUCAGCCGUGGCACAGCGAACAAGACAGACUGACUCAACCCUCAGGGGGCUUACAUUCUAAUGCAGAAAGCAGAAAAUUUCAGUUUGGAUACAUAAUACAAAUUAUCAAAGCAAGGCACAAAGUAUUUUAAAAAUAAGGGGUUUGGGAGGCAAGGAUCUGACCUACUCUAUAGAAGGACUCCUUGGGGAAGUAACAGUUGAGCCGAUCUAAGGAUGCUAGAUAGUCACUAGGUCAGUGGAAAAAAUCAGUGGUUCUCACUGUGGUCAGUGGGUUAUUGGUGGUUUCAUAAUAACUGGGGACUACUCCCAGCACUGAGUGGAUGCAGCCAGGGAGAACGAUGUCCUGCAGUGUGUGGGUUAGUGCCACACAACGAAGAAUUAUUCUGUACCCUGUACGACUGUCUAAUGUCCUGCUGGACAUUUAGGUAGGACCUACAGCUUGUCCGAGAGAGUAACUCAUUUGUUUUCUCUGAGACAAUCUGUAAUUUGUCUUGUCCUAUUAUCCUUAAGUAAUUCUGACGCUGUAUUCAUCGGUUCUAACUAAUCACGCAGGCUUUGUCUUCAGUAUAUUCAAUCACAUAUUGUGGGUAUUAGAGAUGGGGGUUUCACCAUGUUGGUCAGGCUGGUCUCGAACUCCUGACCUCAGGUGAUUCACGCACCUCGGCCUCCCAAAGUGCUGGGAUUACAGGAAUGAGCCACAGUGCCUAGCCUAACAUUUCAUUUUUUAGGAUAAAUAUUUGUUUGAAUUCUAACAUAGGAUAGACCUGUAAGAAACUGAUGGGUUUUAAUUUCACCUAUCAUAUGUCACUUAAGAUGGUUACCACAUUUCCCAUUUUCUCCAAACACUUCUAGGUAAGUUUCACUGAUACAUUUAAACUUAAUAAACUUAUGAAAUCUCAUCGAUAAAUUCAUUCCCCAGCUUAAAACCUUUCAUUAGUUUCCCAUGCGCUUACAGUCAAGUUUAGCUCUUUAUGGUCAUACCUUGUUCCAUUUCUCCCUUCUCCGCUAUGUGGUGACUCUACAAAGCAGGGGAAUCCUACUCUAUCUCUAUCCUUGGGAACACCUCUCUAGCUGGGUUAGUUGGCCACAGGACCUGUUCCUUUUUUUCUUUUUUCUCUUUUUUUUUUUUGAGACGGAGUCUUAGCUGGUGUGCAAUGGCAUGAUCUCAGCUCACCGCAACCUCCGCCUCCCGGGUUCAAGCGAUUAUCCUGCCUCAGCCUCCCAAGUAGGUGGGAUUACAGGCACAUGCCACUGCACCCAGCUAAUUUUUGUAUUUUUAGUAGAGACGGGGUUUCACCAUGUUGACCAGGCUGGUCUUGAACUCCUGACCUCAAGUGAUCUGCCUGCCUCGGUCUCCCAAAGUGCUGGGAUUACAGGCGUGAGCUGCCGCGCCUGACCUGGACCUGUUAUUUUUCUCUAUAGCAGCCCAACAUUUGCAAUCAUUUAAUUUUUUUUUUUUUUUUUUUUUUUNNNNNNNNNNUUUUUUUUUUUUUUUUUUGAGACAAAAUGUUGCUCUGUCGCCCAGGCUAGAGUACAGUGGCACAAUCACAGCUCACUGCAGCCUCAAACUUCUGGGCUCAAGCAAUUCUCCCACCUCAGCCUCCUGAGUAGAUGGGACUACAGGCAUGUGCCACCAUGCCCAGGUAAUUAAAAAAAAUUGUUUGUAAUUAAAACAAAAAAUUAGACAAGGUCUCGCCAUGUUGCCCAAGCUGGUCUCCAACUCCUGGGCUCAAGUGAUCCUCCUACCUCAGCCUCCCAAAGUACAGGAAUUACAGGUCUAAGCUACCAUGCCUGGCCACAGUCAUUUAAUUAAUUAUGUAAGACAAUUAUGCAAAAUUUGUUUGGGGCCAUGUCUAACUUGUUCACCACUGUGUACCCACCAUCUAGUGUACAGAAGACACUCAAAAAUAUUUGCUGACUGGCUGAUUGACUUCUUGACUUUUGGGGCAAGAAUUGAAUUUAAUCCUAGUUGUAUGAGUUGAACUCACUUUGAAUCUGUGAUAAACUAUUACUUAUUUCCUAAAGAUGAGUGAUUCUUAGUUUUUUUUUUUAAUUUUCUAGUUUUUAUUUAUUUAUGAAGUUAAUUCCCUCAAACAUUAAGCUAAGUGUGAAGUGCAGUUUUUAGUAAGCUUGCUUAUUAGUUAAAAAUGGACAAUAAACAUUUACAUUCAUAAAGAUUUCUUUUUUUUCUUUUUUUUUUCAUUUUAUUGUUAUUUUACUUUAAGUUCUAGGGUACAUGUGCACAACGUGCAGGUUUGUUACAUAUGUAUACAUGUGCCAUGUUGGUGUGCUGCACCCAUUAACUCGUCACGUAGCAUUAGGUAUAUCUCCUAAUGCUAUCCCUCCCCCCCACCCCCGGUUUGUUUGUUUUUAAGAGUUGCAUGCAGGCCAGGCGCAGUGGCUCACACCUGUAAUCCCAGCACUUUGGGAGGCCAAGGCAGGCAGAUCCCCUGAGGUCAGGAGUUCU